rnacentral:rRNA from 1 species
UACGUAGGGGGCAAGCGUUGUCCGGAUUCAUUGGGCGUAAAGAGCGUGUAGGCGGCCAGGUAGGUCGGUUGUGAAAACUGGAGGCUCAACCUUCAGAGGUCGACCGAAACCAUCUGGCUAGAGUCCGGGAGAGGAGAGUGGAAUUCCUGGUGUAGUGGUGAAAUGCGUAGAGAUCGGGAGGAACACCCGUGGCGAAGGCGGCUCACUGGGCUGACCUUGACGCUGAGGCGCGAAGGCGUGGGGAGCGAACGGGG